CCUACGGGAGGCAGCAGUGGGGAAUAUUGCACAAUGGGCGCAAGCCUGAUGCAGCCAUGCCGCGUGUGUGAAGAAGGCCUUCGGGUUGUAAAGCACUUUCAGCGGGGAGGAAGGCGUUAAGGUUAAUAACCUUGUCGAUUGACGUUACCCGCAGAAGAAGCACCGGCUAACUCCGUGCCAGCAGCCGCGGUAAUACGGAGGGUGCAAGCGUUAAUCGGAAUUACUGGGCGUAAAGCGCACGCAGGCGGUCUGUCAAGUCGGAUGUGAAAUCCCCGGGCUCAACCUGGGAACUGCAUUCGAAACUGGCAGGCUAGAGUCUUGUAGAGGGGGGUAGAAUUCCAGGUGUAGCGGUGAAAUGCGUAGAGAUCUGGAGGAAUACCGGUGGCGAAGGCGGCCCCCUGGACAAAGACUGACGCUUAGGUGCGAAAGCGUGGGGAGCAAACAGGAUUAGAUACCCUUGUAGUC
rnacentral:rRNA from 1 species